GACGAACGCUGGCGGCGUGCUUAACACAUGCAAGUCGAACGGUGAAGCGCCUUCCUUUUUGGUGGGUUUGGAUGAGUGGCGAACUGGUUAGUAACACGUUAGUAACCUUCCCCCUUCUUCUGGAUAACCGCAUGAAAGUGUUGCUAAUACGUGAUAUUCUGGGUCUGUCGCAUGAUGGGUCUGGGACAGUUAUUCUUUCGGUGGUGGAUGGGCUCGCGGCCUAUCAGCUUGUUGGUGGGGUGAUGGCCUACCAAGGCGGUGACGGGUAGCCGGCCUGAGAGGGUGGACGGCAACAGUGGGAAUGAGACACGGCCAAGACUCCGACGGGAGGCAGCAGUGGGGAAUAUGGAACAAGGGGAGGAAGCAUGAUGCAGCGACGCGGGGGGAGGGAUGGAGGCCUUAGGGUUGUGAACCUCUUUCGCCAGUGAAGCAGGCCUGCCUCGUUUGUGGGUGGGUUGACGGUAGCUGGAUAAGAAGCGCCGGCUAACUACGUG
rnacentral:rRNA from 1 species